AUUGAACGCUGGCGGCAUGCCUUACACAUGCAAGUCGAACGGUAACAGGUCUUCGGAUGCUGACGAGUGGCGAACGGGUGAGUAAUACAUCGGAACGUGCCUAGUAGUGGGGGAUAACUACUCGAAAGAGUGGCUAAUACCGCAUGAGAUCUACGGAUGAAAGCAGGGGAUCGCAAGACCUUGUGCUACUAGAGCGGCCGAUGGCAGAUUAGGUAGUUGGUGGGAUAAAAGCUUACCAAGCCGACGAUCUGUAGCUGGUCUGAGAGGACGAUCAGCCACACUGGGACCGAGACACGGACCAGACUCCUACGGGAGGCAGCAGUGGGGAAUUUUGGACAAUGGGCGAAAGCCUGAUCCAGCAAUGCCGCGUGCAGGAUGAAGGCCUUCGGGUUGUAAACUGCUUUUGUACGGAACGAAAAGCCCUGGGUUAAUACCCUGGGGUCAUGACGGUACCGUAAGAAUAAGCACCGGCUAACUACGUGCCAGCCGCCGCCGUAA
rnacentral:rRNA from 1 species